rnacentral:rRNA from 1 species
AUUGAACGCUGGCGGCAUGCCUUACACAUGCAAGUCGAACGGUAACAGGUCUUCGGAUGCUGACGAGUGGCGAACGGGUGAGUAAUACAUCGGAACGUGCCCGAUCGUGGGGGAUAACGAAGCGAAAGCUUUGCUAAUACCGCAUACGAUCUACGGAUGAAAGCAGGGGACCGCAAGGCCUUGCGCGAACGGAGCGGCCGAUGGCAGAUUAGGUAGUUGGUGGGAUAAAAGCUUACCAAGCCGACGAUCUGUAGCUGGUCUGAGAGGACGACCAGCCACACUGGGACUGAGACACGGCCCAGACUCCUACGGGAGGCAGCAGUGGGGAAUUUUGGACAAUGGGCGAAAGCCUGAUCCAGCCAUGCCGCGUGCAGGAUGAAGGCCUUCGGGUUAUAAACUGCUUUUGUACGGAACGAAAAGACUCUGGUUAAUACCUGGGGUCCAUGACGGUACCGUAAGAAUAAGCACCGGCUAACUACGUG